CGCGCGAGCACGCCGGUUCUGUUUGAAACACUCUCGCGGCGGCCCAAUAACCGAGCAGACAACAGGCGACAGGAAAGAGAAGAAUUGGCGAUCACAAGGAGGAUCUACGCCAAAAGCCACAUGAUCACCGACGUCAGAGUUGUGCUGGCGAUGCAGCUAUCAUAGGGCAAGCGAGAAGCACGAAGUCGGAGUCAGAAACAAUGAGAGGACAGGACAUCAGCAUCAUGAAUCGUCCAGCUAGAGAGACCCUGGUGUUGCAUCUGUGCUCCUGUGUUCUGGCAAAUUAGCUCAUUGAUACAGAUUCCUAGAGUCUGAUGGAGCGGCCACUGUAAUAAUCAAAAACACACACGUACAGUAGAUGGAUGCUGAGUCCUGUCCUGAGGAGCCGGCUCUCCUGUGCUGCGUCAUCUGUCUGAGAAGCCGACGUCUGUUUUUUCUUUCUAUUCAUCGUUUCAAACCCAGCAACAGACUGAAGCGGAAAUGUUCCAUGCUCAAGGACACCGGCAGAGCAACCGAGUCUGUGCAUCUGUAUAUAGGAGAGAUCAAACAAGCUUGUUUUUUUUAACAUCCCAUUUCUGAGUCAUCAUCAGUCAUGUUGGCACCUUAGAGUCUGGUAAAAAUAGACACGCAGGACAAGAACAACAGUGACAACAGAAGCUCCAUAAAACCUGUUUGAUAUUCACGUAGAAGCUUCUGUUAAAACCAAGCCGUAACUUAACAAUUACUGUUGUUAUUAUUCUAUUUAGGUUAAAUGUGUGAAUGUGUGGCAGUUGUGGCACGUCUCAGGAUGAUGCAGCGACCUGACGGGAGUGUGACCCAUGGGAGCUCAUACCUGCCUCCUGAAUCAACUGUGUGAAAUUACUUUCCCCUAAACUAAAGUCUGGCUGUUGGAUGAUAAACUUGUUUCCUCAGCUGAGCACCGCUGACCCCUUCUCACACAUAAGCAGUCAGAUGGAGGAUGGUGGAGGUAGUUCUAAGUAGAAGCAUUGCUCCUUUGAUUUGAAAAGGCGGUUCAGGCGUCUGAUUAGAAUCCCCCCACAAAAGUGCAGCAAUGUGACGUUUACCUUAGUUCGGCUCCAGUCCUUGAAAGCAACCUGUGCACAGCAACAAUGCUGCCUUUGUGGCUCACCGAGCGCAGCAGGAAUGCUGGACGUGAAGCAGCCAUGACGCCUGCGUCGCUCUGUCACCGAGGCGACGCUUCCUCCUCUCACACAUGACAUUUGCACGUGCGCCUUCUUCGGUUUCAGCGUGCAUCUGUCUGGUUUACAUAGAUAUGAUGCAUUCAGGCUCCUUGGUCUGUAAUCAAAGAAUAAGAGGCCGACGUGGUGUAAGCUGUUGCAGUGUGCCGGGUUUCCCCUCUCAUUUCUGUGUGUAUAGUGUUUCAAAGAGCCUCCGCUGGCUUGUCUGCCUGGAAUUUAACAGCCAGCAUCAAAAUGAAGGAAAGACUUUAGUAAAUAGUUUGGAUCAGGGCUGCAUUGUAGUGUUUGGGAGCAAGGCUAUAAUUUCCUACACAAUGCUGCAUCUUCACAGCAUUUCUCCACCUUGUUGUGUUGCCUGGUUCUGUAUAUAUUUCUCAUGGAAAUAUAUACGGAACGGUUUCUCCGUCUUCCUCUCUCCUCUGUCAUUUGGAAGCCACAGCAUUUUUUGGUGAUUUAUCUGUUUGUCUGUGUUAUUGUUCUGGUCCCUGAUCACAGAUGUCUCAGCAUCAUUUUAAAGUUUCAACUUUCACAUCCUAUUUCAGUGUUUCUGGUACGGGGGGGGGGACAAAGCCAGUGUACAUUUCGUCAGCUUAGGCAUAUAAGAAAAAAAACAACCCAGUAAGGCUUAAAAUGUUACAAAUUACCGUGGGAUACAGAACAAAACCAGCACCAGGGUUCUGCUUCACCGACUGGCUUCCUUUCCUCUUCCUUUCCCACUCCUCCCUCAGUCAUUUUAACUCUUCCCUCUCACCUCAUGUGACCUUUCGGCGUCUCUCUUCUUUUAUCAUUCCCAUAUCCCUCCUUUCACUCCCUGGGUCUUUCUCAUCUACACCACACUAUACUGUGGCGACCUCCACGCCACAAAAGUCUUUAAUUAUUAUACCAACAUCACACAAUAAUACAGUCUGUACUAAAUGCAAGAUGAAAAGAUGCAAAUGUACAAACAUGAAAAGAAAGCGUCUCUCCUCACAUCUUGUUCUGCUUACAGUCUCCCUCUCCUUUUCUUCUUCUGUCUGCACAAACCCAAACAUGAGCCUUCCAGCUGGGUGUGUUGCGUGUAAAGGAAAGUUAAUUGGGCUAAAGUGGCUUAAGGACUCCACUGACUAAUGGUGUCCGUUUACAGCGAAGGAGUGAAUGGAGGCACUGCUGCGACCGCACCCUGAGCCGGUCAACUUGAAUCGGACUCACCUGAGGAGCAGGAUUUAUUCCAGCUUGAUUCACUCAGACUUUAACUGAAUGACUGACCCAUCGUCGGAGACGCGGCUUCGAUACUGGACAGUGAGACCAGUCAAUGGGUGUAGUCACUGGAGGGGAAAAUUGUUUGAUGCCCUGCAGAGCUACCUGACAUCACGCUGUUUGCUGUUUCAUAACAAAUUCAUUUGGCUGGUCAUUGAGGACACCGGCACUCUGCUCAGACCCAGCACGGCUCUUUUAGGUCCACCAGUCCCACAGAAAUGUCUUAAUACGGUUCUAUACUAUCUAUACAGAGCAAAGCUAAGAGAUGGUGGAUCUGUGAAACACACAAAGAUGCUGACAUGGAUAAAACGGACUGGGCACACAGUCCCUUCAGGCCCCUUUGUGAAGACACACACACUGCUGCUGAACGCACAGCAUCUGUGAACACACAGUGUUGCCUCCUCAAGGUAAAGCCAGAGUAAAGUAAUAGCUCCGCUCCACAGAAACAGCAACAGAGGUUAGAAAAACCUGGCAAACCUCACACAAUAAUGCGACAGAUGUACAGCGUCUUGCCAGCUGAGACCCAUUUGUGAGACACAUGGAUGAAUUUCACCCACGUUCCCAUUGGUUGAUGGGAUGGGUGCUAUAGUAUAAUAUCUCAUUGUUAUUUCCUGCUGUCUGUGUAGUUCUGGGCAUACUGAUCCAUUCACCCUAACACCAGCCUUGACCUGCCUUGUCAAGUCCUAAUACUUUCCUAGAUAACACAGUUGCACAAUCGCACAUUUGUGUCAAGGGCCGAUAAGAUCAGAGUAUUAGCACUUACUAGGAUAUUCACAAGCCCAAACUGAAACCUAAUCCCUCAUAAAUCUUCCUGGCGAUCAGAGGCUGUCGGCUGCUGCUGAGUACGGUGUUCCUGUAAAUGUGCCCACAGUAAGCCUCCUCCUUUCUAGUGGUGGGUGCGUAGGCCUGUGUGGGUGCAACGGUCAGAGGAGUCUUCCCUUUCCCCACCUCCGUUGGAGCUGUCGCUUGGUCAGCCGCUGUCCCCGCGCUGACCUCAAAUAACAUCUGCACAUCUGGAGCUGCUCUGAGAAGGUGAACCACAGCGCUGCUACCUACCAGCAUCUGCAGCAACUGAGAGCGGCAGUGGUCAGCCUCUGGAUGCCCCGAUGUCACCUUAACAAACACAUGGACCUCAAAUGGAUUUGUUGUCAGAACCAAAGAUGUCACUAGGACAAGAAAACGAAUGGAGCAACAAAAGGUAUUAGUUUCCUAAAUCAUAUAAAUGAUUGUACGUCACAACCUCUGGGGAGGACAGGCAGUCACGCCUGUCUUUUACUCAGACUUACCUAUGCACUAAUAUUAUAACUACUGCACUGAUGCAGUGGCUUGUACAAGUAUUCAUGGUCCUCGGUUGAUGAGGCUUUUAACUUUUUCAUUUACAUUCCAGUUUGUUUCAGCAACCUUGUCUGUUUCUGUGAAAGGCUGUGGAAAAGGCGCGAUGUGCAUCAGAGGUCAGAGGUCAUGCUCAGUCCUUCGUCAAUGGGUGGUCUAACAGGAUGUGAAGUCCAAAUGAUUCAAUACGAGUUCACCCUUGGGGAACCACAACCAAUCAGAGGUUCAAACACCAGUGACUAGGAGAACAUGAAUUGACAAAGCGUGUGUGUGUGUGUGUGUGUGUGUGUGUGUGUGUGUGUGUGUGUGUGUGUGUGUGUGUGUGUGUGUGUGUGGAUGGUGACAUCAUCUGGAUGUGAAAGGCAGUUAAAACAACUAACUGAUUAACUGAUGCAUCACGAUGAACGCACGUUGUGAAAAACAAACACACUUGCGCGUUGUAGGAAACCUUUUGAUCGUUUAACUGAGAUAUGAUUUCCCAGUUUGCCGUAAUGAACAUAAACAUAUGACUAACGAAGAAAAGCGAUGAAAAACUAUAUAGUCUAGAGUUUGGAAAAUCAUGACUCAUGUUAUUAAGAGACUCAAUGCCGUCUAAAAUCUGACAACAUGGUAAACUCACUUAUUUUUAUUUUCUCAGAGAAUGUGGAUUAAAGCAUCUUUUGAUCUACUGUAGCAUGCUGAAAUCCCCUCAGUCCUCAUUAUACCCAUGCAGCCAUGGGGAUAUAACCAUUUCCAAACCCUCGGUGGACUGAGGGUCAGACUGUGGGGGUUUUGUUCAGUCUGAGUGUGUAUCCUGAUGCCGUACAGGGUG